rnacentral:rRNA from 1 species
GUGCGUCCAAGCAGUGAGUGUGAGAAGUAGGCAAAUCCGCUUCUCGCGAAGCAUGAGCUGUGAUGGGGAAGGAAAUUAAGUACGGAAGUUCCUGAUUUCACGCUGUCAAGAAAAGCCGCUAGGAAGAGUAGUACUGCCCGUACCGCAAACCGACACAGGUAGAUGAGGAGAGAAUCCUAAGGUGAGCGAGAGAACUCUCGUUAAGGAACUCGGCAAAAUGACCCCGUAACUUCGGGAGAAGGGGU